AUAAACACUUGGCCAAGGAGAUAACAUGAUCACGAAAGUGGUUCUCUCAGGGCGAGGCUCAUCAAUUGCAUUUCAGACUGUGCUGACCUCUGCAAUUUCCCCAAAUGUGGGAAACUUGGUGCGUAAUUGGUUAGUGGUAGACUGCGUUUGUGCUCUUAAAAG